UAGGCAGAAGCCUGUUGGUUUGGGCACCUAGCUGUUAAUUAGGUUGUUAUGGGAUCGAGGCCCAUCUGCCUAG
rnacentral:tRNA from 1 species